rnacentral:rRNA from 1 species
UACGGGGGGGGCAAGCGUUGUUCGGAAUUACUGGGCGUAAAGGGCUCGUAGGUGGCCAACUAAGUCAGACGUGAAAUCCCUUGGCUUAACCGGGGAACUGCGUCUGAUACUGGAUGGCUUGAGUUUGGGAGAGGGAUGCGGAAUUCCAGGUGUAGCGGUGAAAUGCGUAGAUAUCUGGAGGAACACCGGUGGCGAAGGCGGCGUUCUGGACUGUUUCUGACACUGAAAAACGAAAGCCAGGGGAGCAAACGGG